AUUGAACGCUGGCGGAAUGCUUUACACAUGCAAGUCGAGCGGCAGCACGGGGGCAACCCUGGUGACGAGCGGCGAACGGGUGAGUAAUACAUCGGAACAUGCCCAGUCGUGGGGGAUAACACUUCGAAAGAAGUGCUAAUACCGCAUACGUCCUGAGGGGGAAAGCGGGGGAUCGCAAGACCUCGCGCGAUUGGAGUGGCCGAUGUCAGAUUAGCUAGUUGGUGGGGUAAAGGCCUACCAAGGCAACGAUCUGUAGCUGGUCUGAGAGGAUGAUCAGCCACACUGGGACUGAGACACGGCCCAGACUCCUACGGGAGGCAGCAGUGGGGAAUUUUGGACAAUGGGGGCAACCCUGAUCCAGCCAUUCCGCGUGAGUGAAGAAGGCCUUCGGGUUGUAAAGCUCUUUCGGCAGGAACGAAACGGUGAGCUCUAACAUAGCUUGCUAAUGACGGUACUUGAAGAAGAAGCACCGGCUAACUACGUG
rnacentral:rRNA from 1 species